rnacentral:rRNA from 1 species
GGAUGAACGCUAGCGACAGGCUUAACACAUGCAAGUCGAGGGGCAUCACGAUUGUAGCAAUACAAAUUGGUGGCGACCGGCGCACGGGUGAGUAACGCGUAUGCAACUUACCUAUCAGAGGAGAAUAACCCGGCGAAAGUCGGACUAAUACUCCAUAAAACAGGGGUCCCGCAUGGGGAUAUUUGUUAAAGAUUCAUCGCUGAUAGAUAGGCAUGCGUUCCAUUAGCUUGUUGGUGAGGUAACGGCUCACCAAGGCAACGAUGGAUAGGGGUUCUGAGAGGAAGGUCCCCCACACUGGUACUGAGACACGGACCAGACUCCUACGGGAGGCAGCAGUGAGGAAUAUUGGUCAAUGGGCGAGAGCCUGAACCAGCCAAGUCGCGUAGAAGGAUGACGGAUCUAUGGUUUGUAACUUCUUUUAGUAGGGAAUAAAGUAUGGUACGUGUACCAUUUUGUAUGUACCCUAAUGAAUAAGCAUCGGCUAACUCCGUGCCAGCAGCCGC